GAUGAACGCUGGCGGCGUGCCUAAUACAUGCCAGUCGAGCGAACAGACGAGGAGCUUGCUCCUCUGACGUUAGCCGCGGACGGGUGAGUAACACGUGGAUAACCUACCUAUAAGACUGGGAUAACUUCGGGAAACCGGAGCUAAUACCGGAUAAUAUAUUGAACCGCAUGGUUCAAUAGUGAAAGACGGUUUUGCUGUCACUUAUAGAUGGAUCCGCGCCGCAUUAGCUAGUUGGUAAGGUAACGGCUUACCAAGGCGACGAUGCGUAGCCGACCUGAGAGGGUGAUCGGCCACACUGGAACUGAGACACGGUCCAGACUCCUACGGGAGGCAGCAGUAGGGAAUCUUCCGCAAUGGGCGAAAGCCUGACGGAGCAACGCCGCGUGAGUGAUGAAGGUCUUCGGAUCGUAAAACUCUGUUAUUAGGGAAGAACAAAUGUGUAAGUAACUAUGCACGUCUUGACGGUACCUAAUCAGAAAGCCACGGCUAACUACGUG
rnacentral:rRNA from 1 species